CACGCCGUAAACGAUGUCUACUAGCCGUUGGGGGGCUUGACCCUUUAGUGGCGCAGCUAACGCACUAAGUAGACCGCCUGGGGAGUACGGCCGCAAGGUUAAAACUCAAAUGAAUUGACGGGGGCCCGCACAAGCGGUGGAGCAUGUGGUUUAAUUCGACGCAACGCGAAGAACCUUACCAGGCCUUGACAUCCCGAGAAUCCUGCAGAGAUGCGGGAGUGCCUUCGGGAGCUCGGUGACAGGUGC
rnacentral:rRNA from 1 species